rnacentral:rRNA from 1 species
GCAACUCGACUACAUGAAGUCGGAAUCGCUAGUAAUCGCAGGUCAGCAUACUGCGGUGAAUACGUUCCCGGGCCUUGUACACACCGCCCGUCACACCACGAAAGUUGACAACACCCGAAGCCGGUGAGCUAACUCGUAAGAGGGGCAGCCGUCGAAGGUGGGGUUGAUGAUUGGGGUGAAGUCGUAACAAGGUAGCCGUAUCGGAAGGUGCGGCUGGAUCACCUCCUUU